UGGCGGACGGGUGAGUAACGCGUGGAAAACCUGCCGUAUACUGGGGGAUAACACUUAGAAAUAGGUGCUAAUACCGCAUAAGCGCACAGCUUCGCAUGAAGCGGUGUGAAAAACUCUGGUGGUAUACGAUGGUUCCGCGUCUGAUUAGCUAGUUGGUGGGGUAAUGGCCUACCAAGGCGACGAUGGGUAGCCGGCCUGAGAGGGUGGCCGGCCACACUGGGACUGAGACACGGCCCAGACUCCUACGGAAGGCAGCAG
rnacentral:rRNA from 1 species